ACAACUGAUUCAGAGGACAGUGGCGGACGGGUGAGUAACGCGUGAGGAACCUGCCUCAUACAGGGGGAUAACAGUUGGAAACGACUGCUAAUACCGCAUAAGCGCACAGGAUCGCAUGAUCCGGUGUGAAAAACUCCGGUGGUGUGAGAUGGACCCGCGUCUGAUUAGCUUGUUGGUGAGGUAACGGCCCACCAAGGCGACGAUCAGUAGCCGGACUGAGAGGUUGACCGGCCACAUUGGGACUGAGAUACGGCCCAGACUCC
rnacentral:rRNA from 1 species